UGGGGAAUUUUGGACAAUGGGGGAAACCCUGAUCCAGCCAUCCCGCGUGUGCGAUGAAGGCCUUCGGGUUGUAAAGCACUUUUGGCAGGAAAGAAACGUCAUGGGUUAAUACCCCGUGAAACUGACGGUACCUGCAGAAUAAGCACCGGCUAACUACGUGCCAGCAGCCGCGGUAAUACGUAGGGUGCAAGCGUUAAUCGUAAUUACUGGGCGUAAAGCGUGCGCAGGCGGUUCGGAAAGAAAGAUGUGAAAUCCCAGAGCUCAACUUUGGAACUGCAUUUCUAACUACCGGGCUAGAGUGUGUCAGAGGGAGGUGGAAUUCCGCGUGUAGCAGUGAAAUGCGUAGAUAUGCGGAGGAACACCGAUGGCGAAGGCAGCCUCCUGGGAUAACACUGACGCUCAUGCACGAAAGCGUGGGGAGCAAACAGG
rnacentral:rRNA from 1 species